GACGUAGGGUGCGAGCGUUGUCCGGAUUUAUUGGGCGUGAGGAGCUCGUAGGCGGCUCGUCGCGUCGACCGUGAAAACCCGCGGCUCAACUGUGGGCGGGCAGCUGAUACGGGCAGGCUGGAGUUCGGUAGGGGAGACUGGAAUUCCUGGUGUAGCGGUGAAAUGCGCAGAUAUCAGGAGGAACACCGGUGGCGAAGGCGGGUCUCUGGGCCGAUACUGACGCUGAGGAGCGAAAGCGUGGGGAGCGAACAGG
rnacentral:rRNA from 1 species